rnacentral:rRNA from 1 species
UGCAAGUCGAACGGUAGCACAGAGAGCUUGCUCUUGGGUGACGAGUGGCGGACGGGUGAGUAAUGUCUGGGAAACUGCCUGAUGGCGGGGGAUAACUACUGGAAACGGUAGCUAAUACCGCAUAACGUCGCAAGACCAAAGAGGGGGACCUUCGGGCCUCUUGCCAUCAGAUGUGCCCAGAUGGGAUUAGCUAGUAGGUGGGGUAAUGGCUCACCUAGGCGACGAUCCCUAGCUGGUCUGAGAGGAUGACCAGCCACACUGGAACUGAGACACGGUCCAGACUCCUACGGGAGGCAGCAGUGGGGAAUAUUGCACAAUGGGCGCAAGCCUGAUGCAGCCAUGCCGCGUGUAUGAAGAAGGCCUUCGGGUUGUAAAGUACUUUCAGCGAGGAGGAAGGCAUUAAGGUUAAUAACCUUGGUGAUUGACGUUACUCGCAGAAGAAGCACCGGCUAACUCCGUGCCAGCAGCCGCGGUAAUACGGAGGGUGCAAGCGUUAAUCGGAAUUACUGGGCGUAAAGCGCACGCAGGCGGUCUGUCAAGUCGGAUGUGAAAUCCCCGGGCUCAACCUGGGAACUGCAUCCGAAACUGGCAGGCUAGAGUCUUGUAGAGGGGGGUAGAAUUCCAGGUGUAGCGGUGAAAUGCGUAGAGAUCUGGAGGAAUACCGGUGGCGAAGGCGGCCCCCUGGACAAAGACUGACGCUCAGUGCGAAA